rnacentral:lncRNA from 1 species
GGGAGCAUUCCAAGGGCAAGGGAUCCAAGAUUCCCAGGCAGAAGCUACAAGGCAUAUUCUGACCUGUCCUCAGAAGUCCCAGAGUGUCGCUUCUACCGCAUUCUCUUGGACAAAGCAAGUCAAGUAUUUCACUUGAAAUUUUAUAAAACUUAGGAAGCAAAUAAGAAAGCAUGCAAAAUCACUUUAAAUAAUUGUCAUAGAGCUGUUUGGCUCAGAUUGGUGUGCAUUACUGUGUGUAUAUAUCUUAUCUCUAGAAUUAAAAAAAAUUAAAAGAUAGUUGCAACAAUUUUUUUCUUACAGGUAGUUUUUCCUGAAUUUUUAAAUUUUUAAAAAUUAAACAAAAACUUUUUUGCAGAAUAUUGCUUCCUUUCAUCUUCUCCGGAGCUAUCAUGGUGGCUGAGCCAGGUCUCAGGGAAGCUUUGGGAUAGGGGAGCUGAUGUCAAGCAGCCUGUUGCCUCCCUGCCUCUUUAUGGAGCCUGACUCCCCUCCCUGUAGCCAGUUCACAUGUUCCUUCAUCAACAAAGGCUUCAAGAAUGGCCACUGGUGUGUUCCAGUUUAAAAGAAAGCAUUGGAACAGUAGCCAUCAAGAUAUAACACUGUCAUGCCAGAGAAUAAUUCCAGUGAUAUGACCAUUCGGCCCAAAAAAAGAAAGUCUGAGAAGUCAUCAAGACAAUGUCACAGCUGCAGGGGACCCCACUUGCUCUGUCCACCUCGGGAAGAAGAUGAAGUGGGCGCUGGCAUACGCCAUGGAGAGGGUGGCGGAGCCUGCUGCUGGAGCAGUUUUCACUGUGACGGACUCCCCGAGACUCUGGAUGUCCCGCCUUCUCACCUGUGACACCGAUGCGAUCAUGCCUUUGGAUUUACCCUUCCGACUCAACUGGCGCCUUUCACUGUGUCUGCUACAGACUCACCUUCAGGCUUUGCACCAUAUUCCAGGAAUGACCAGUGAGAAAUGUAAAAGUUGGGAGGAAUUAAGGGAUUUGUUGUGCUUUCCCGUUUCACGUGGCAUGUGUAGCCAGUGCUGCAGGUAGCAUGCAUGGGCAGCUGUAUUUGAAUUGUAAAAGUGCACCUUCUUCGGACAGACAAAUCAUAAAAUGGUGUCCCCUUUGGAUGGAAGAUGUCCAACAUGGAGCCCUUCACCUACAUGGAUGAAGCUUUCUUCUUGGCAAGCAGCCCAUGGGCUGACUUUCAGCCUCACUCACUGCCUUGCGGAGUGCCUUUGUGUGGUACAAAAAUUAACAACUACCUGGGGGUAUCCCUAAAUCUAGCAUCCCUGGCUCCUGACUUUGGAAUCCCAGCAGAAUCCCCAAUUCCUAUGUCAAAACAAAUAAACAAAUCUAACACCCCACAAUUUCCCCAUAUGUACUUAAGAUCUCCCCUUGAGAACAGCUAUCUUGGUCCAGAGGGUUUUGCAAACAACUAGUUAAGUUAGAAAGCUGUUCCUUGGAUUAACUCUUUUUUUUUCUUUUUUCAGGAUGGAGUCUUGCUCUGUCACCCAGGCUGGAGUGCAGUGGCGUGAUCUCCACUCACUGCAACCUCUGCCUCCCGGGUUCAAGUGAUUCUCCUGCCUUAACCUGCCUAGUAGCUGGGACUACAGGUACCCACCACCACGCCCAGCUAAUUUUUGUAUUUUUAGUAGACAUGGGAUUUCACCUUAUUGGUCAGGCUGGUCUUGAACUCCUGACAUUGUGAGCCGCCCACCUCGGCCUUCCAAAGUGCUGGGAUUACAGGCAUUAGCCACCAUUCCUAAUAGUUCGAAUUAACUUAUUUUAAGCUUUUUUUGUAGAUAAUUUGUGCUUUAUGUGUAAAACACCAAGCCCA